rnacentral:antisense_RNA from 1 species
UUUGACGGAGCCGAGCAGCAGCGGCCGGUCCGCCGGGCGGUCCUGGCCGUACGUGGCCAGCAGGGCCUGUGCCUC